AUGAAGCUCCUGGCCAGCUCUGAGAUCGCUGCUGCCUCGGUAGCCGAGAGGAGGCUCAUGCCCGCCGUCCAACACCAAGAAGACCGGACUGAAGAAUCCUUGCUCGCUCCCGCCGAGGACAUUCUAGAAUCACUGGAGGUUCCUAAAGCUAAGGUAGAGCAGGAAGUAGUAUCUGUGGAGGAGGAAUUGGAAGUAGAAGCAUUAGCUGCAGAAGCAGCUGUCGUGGAAACUGAAGAACCAGAAGAGGAGGCUGUUGUUGCUGCCCCUGAUGUCACAGAGGAAGUGGUUGCUGAGGCAACCCCUGAGCCAGAGGAAGUAGUUCCGGUCGCCGUAGAGGAGGCUCCAGCUGCUGUUGCAGAGGAGGAGACGGCUGCACUUCCCCUAGAGGCCCCAGAGCUCCCUGCCGCUGUGGAAGUACCUGAGUCUUCUGCCGCUGUGGAAGUACCUGAGGCUUCUGCCGCUGUGGAAGUACCUGUGGCUUCUGCCGCUGUGGAAGUACCUGAGGCUUCUGCCGCUGUGGAAGUACCUGAGGCUUCUGCCGCUGUGGAAGUACCUGAGGCUUCUGCCGCUGUGGAAGUACCUGAGGCUUCUGCCGCUGUGGAAGUACCUGAGGCUUCUGCCGCUGUGGAAGUACCUGAGGCUUCUGCCGCUGUGGAAGUACCUGAGGCUUCUGCCGCUGUGGAAGUACCUGAGGCUUCUGCCGCUGUGGAAGUACCUGAGGCUUCUGCCUCUGUGGAAGUUCCUGAGGCUUCUGCCGCUGUGGAAGUACCUGAGGCUUCUGCCGCUGUGGAAGUACCUGAGGCUUCUGCCGCUGUGGAAGUACCUGAGGCUUCUGCCGCUGUGGAAGUACCUGAGGCUUCUGCCGCUGUGGAAGUACCUGAGGCUUCUGCCAAGGAGGGACCAAUAGUAGAAGCACCAGCAGUAGAGGGAUUUUCCCCAGAAGAGGCUGCCCCAGUCGAAGAGGCAGCGCCAGUUGAGGCAGAGGUACCUGCAGCCGAAGAGGUAGCAGUAGUAGUGGAGGAAGCCCCAGUGGAGGAAGCCCCAGUGGAGGAAGCCCCAGCAGCGGAGGAACCGGCAGCGGCAAAGGAGGCUGUGGAGACAGCCCAAGUGUCUGAGGAUGAGGCGCUCGUCGUGGAGGCGGCAAUGCUGGCAGCAGCCUCAGCCCUAGAUGUUGUGGCAGUGGAGGCAGAGGCAGCCCCGGCUGAGGAAGUCAAGGAGCCCCUCUUCACUUCAUGCCACCAAUGUGAAGCCCCAGCUUCUGAGGCUCCCCCAGUUGAGACUGCUGUGGCAGUCACCCCUGUGGAGGUUGUAGAGGCUGCAUCUGUGGUGGAAUUAGAGGCUCCCCCUGCUGGUGUGGAGUCAGUUGGUGAGGCAGUGGAGGUGACCGCGGAGGAGCGUGCCACCGAUUGGCCUGUGGAGGUGACCGCAGUGGAGGAAGCCAAGGUGGAAGGUGCACAGAGUAUGAGCCUGAUGUUGCUGACAGCUCAGUCCUGACUGGAGACCAGCGAGAUGUGCCUUCUGGAAUAGUCAACGCCCACAGCUGUCAAUCAAACAGGACGAUCAACAUAAAACACACACAGAAUUAGAACUGGUUUGAAUUUAAUUCUAUAAUUAUAAUAAACUAAUUAUAUUUAAAUGUUACCUAAUGACAACAGUUGUCAACCUUGUAACUACAUUCCAGGUUCUCACUCAGUUUCUUGGUCUUGUAUUAUCCCUACAUUUACAUUUACGUCAUUUAGCAGACGCUCUUAUCCAGAGCGACUUACAAAUUGGUGCAUUCAUCUUAUGAUAUCCAGUGGAACAACCACUUUACAAUAGUACAUCUAUAUAUAUUUUUUUUGGGGGGGUUAGAAGGAUUACUUUAUCCUAUCCCAGGUGAGGUGACACUUCUGUAAGGGUUUGAAGUCUGACUUUAUUCUUAGGUAUCUGACCCAAAUGGCACCUUAUACCCUAUAUAGUGCACUACUUUUGACCAGGGCCCGUAGGGGAAUAGGGUGCCAUUUGGGACGGACUUCAACUGUUUCUCAGUACCACCCUGUUCCACAAGGUGCCACUGUUACCAAGCUGACGAAGACCACUUGAAUGUAUUUGAAGUUACUUGAUAAAUUAUCGUGUACUUGACAUAGCCUAAUGAAUUCGGACUAUUUUUUUGAUUUAAUGAAAUAAGAUCUGAAUCGGUGUAUUAAACAGUAGGCUAUUAGACAAUGUCUAGAUAAUUGUGUUCUUCAAAGACUGUUGGGUUAGUUCUGCAUGAAGUUUUUUUUAUUCUAUCAGGGAAUAUCUAGAUUAAGUUUAGUUCCCAAGCCAGUAGACUGUUGGUAGACAGUAUUGUACCUAUGUGUUGUAAAAAUAAAAUGUAUGUUUCAGUCCAAUAACAAUCUAUGUAAUAGCUUUGCAGGUGGGGUUGGUUGGUGAGGUUGGGUGGUUGUGUGUGUGUAACACAGUAUGGAAAGACUAGUUGUCCAAACUAUCCUGUGGUUAUAUAUUCAUGUUGCUUGUGUAUAUUUUCUAUAGAAAGACUAGUUUGAAGAUCAAAACUAACACUAUCCUGUCACUAUAUAGUCAUGUUGUGUAUAUUUUAGAUGGAAAGACUAGUUUAAAGGUCGAAACUAACAAUAUCCUGUCAUUUAUUUAAGUCAUAAUAUAAUUGUCAUUAUGUAAUUACUAAAAAAGCUACUAUGAUGUCAUACUCAGAAAAGUGUCAUGUUGUAUUUUUAAAUUGAAUGGAGCUGUAUGCUUAUUCAGAAUGGACAAGUGGACUGUACACUUUUGACUUUGAACUUCAUUGACAUGAUUCCAUAUCUAAUUAUGAGAUUCAAUUUGGAGAGGCCUUUUUUUAAUGGAUGAAAUGAUCAAUUCAAUAAUUGUUUUAUGUAUAGUAUCUGUUAUUGUACAGACUAAUUCUUUGUAAAUAAAUAAAGGUGAUUUUAAACGGUUUGGUUGGCAAUGUAAUUAUUGUGAUGUUUUUGUAUGCUACAGGAUGAAACGAUAACAUUUUGAACAGUAGAUGGAGCUCAAUACUUCCAUUCAAUCUCCUUCAAUCCGUUUGAAUGGGUAACAGUCUCAUUCAGCCAAUGUUUAUUGAAAUGUAUUCAUUAGAGACUGGAUGGCGACAUGACUGGCGACAUGGACAUGACUGGCAGUAGUGCAAAAUGACUAGCAGUAGUGCAAAUGAUAUGAAAAGAAACGCACAGAGAACGGGCAUAUCCUUCAGAAAAGAAUUUGAUACACAGAAAUAAAGUUGUAUUUCAAUGCUAUGAAACAUAACAUCAGUAGUAUAACACUUUUGGAGAAUGCAGCAAAAUCUAAAUUAUACUAUUUAUGGGGAAGGUUCGGGGGCAGUUGCUGCUCUGCGUGACGUCACGGCCGGUGUGUCAUUCGCUGGCAGGCUGUGUUGUCGUUUUCUGGACCCGAACCUCUCCUCCCAGCAAAAACAACGAGUCCAGCCCCCUUGGAAAAAAAACACCGUUUUAUUUAUUGUUCAGAAUAACAUAGAAACAAACGUGCUUUCACAACGACCAGAAACAACCAAAUCUAAAUGUCGUAGAUAGCGUUACACUAUGGUUCGCUAACAACAAACGGGUUGCUAGUGAACGUUAGCAACGCCAGCUAGGUCUGUUCGGAGGAGGUUACGGAGUGUCACUGGCAGCAGCUAACCAUUGUGUCUGUUGUUGACUCGGCCUUGCAUCAGAAACCCCCUUUGGACUGGGCAGAAGAGCCAUUUCAAGGUAAGGACAUUCUUGUAGCUAUCCGUAUGCUAAUUCUGCUAAACCAUUUAUCUAGCUAACAAGCUGAUACUCGUGAAUACCAGAACAUAUGCAUGCUAACUAACUAGAAAGGAGGGGGCGUCACAAUGUAGCUAACGUUAGUUAAUAAUGGUAACUAGUUAGCUAGUCGCUGUGGGUUUUAGAUAAAUAAACUCUUUAAUUAGUGUUCAUGUUUGAGAGCGAGAGAGGGCUCCAGCAAGUUACAGUGAAAUGGCUAGUUAACUUACUAUCCCAGUGCUGUACAUCUCGCCCUCAGUGUGGUUUAAUACCCAUGUAUUUACACUGGCAAUGCCCCUGGUAAUGACAACUUAACCCAAUACACUGUUGCCCAGGAGUUAGACUACAGACUGUAGUGUAGUGUCAAGAGCUGCAAAGCCUCAGUGGGUUUUGUGAAGCACUCGUAGCUACAUUUUAUAUUUUAGUCGUUUAGCAGACGCUCUUUUCCAGAGCGACUUACAGUAGUGAGUGGAUACAUUCAUAUUUCAUUUUCCUACAUUAUUAACAAGUUAUUCAGACUAGCUAAAACAGCCGUUGGUCUGUCUGACUGCAAUGUUAUCUUGCCCUAGAUAAGACUAUGGCGGAACUUGACAUUUGUCCUGUAAUAACUGCUUCCCUCACAAGGAAUUUGUGACUAGCUGCUAAUGCAAACAAAGUGAUAGCUAACUGAGUAGCACUGGCCUAGAGUAACCUUUGAACCAGCGAGCUAGGCCCUGAAGGAUAGUUAUCUCACAAGUGAACAACGGUUUCAGCUUGGCACCAAUGUCCUUGUUAGGCAACCAGUAACUACAGUCCAACAGACACCGUUUACACAGUGAAACUUGCAGUGUACCGACUGUUGAACAAAAGCGUUCGUUUACUUGAAUAUUACAUAUUGGGUGAAUGUUUGGUUGGUUCUCAAGAGGGGGGUGGUGGGAUGGACCACAGGGUUACCAUAGUGAUAUGAGAUGG
rnacentral:lncRNA from 1 species